GACGAACGCUGGCGGCGUGCUUAACACAUGCAAGUCGAACGGAAAGGCCCUGCUUUUGUGGGGUGCUCGAGUGGCGAACGGGUGAGUAACACGUGAGUAACCUGCCCUUGACUUUGGGAUAACUUCAGGAAACUGGGGCUAAUACCCGAUAGGAGCUCCUGCUGCAUGGUGGGGGUUGGAAAGUUUCGGCGGUUGGGGAUGGACUCGCGGCUUAUCAGCUUGUUGGUGGGGUAGUGGCUUACCAAGGCUUUGACGGGUAGCCGGCCUGAGAGGGUGACCGGCCCCAUUGGGACUGAGAUACGGCCCAGACUCCUACGGGAGGCAGAAGUGGGGAAUAUUGCACAAUGGGCGGAAGCCUGAUGCAGCAACGCCGCGUGCGGGAUGACGGCCUUCGGGUUGUAAACCGCUUUCGCCCGUGACGAAGCGUGAGUGACGGUAAUGGGUAAAGAAGCACCGGCUAACUACGUG
rnacentral:rRNA from 1 species